UACGGAGGGGGCUAGCGUUAUUCGGAAUUACUGGGCGUAAAGCGCACGUAGGCGGCUUUGUAAGUCAGAGGUGAAAUCCCGGGGCUCAACCCCGGAACUGCCUUUGAGACUGCAUCGCUUGAAUCCAGGAGAGGUGAGUGGAAUUCCGAGUGUAGAGGUGAAAUUCGUAGAUAUUCGGAAGAACACCAGUGGCGAAGGCGGCUCACUGGACUGGUAUUGACGCUGAGGUGCGAAAGCGUGGGGAGCAAACAGG
rnacentral:rRNA from 1 species